CAGCAACGCUGCUAUCUGAAGUGUUCAAGCUUCCGCAGCAAGUGUCGAGCCCGGGCCAUACUGAAUAAGGCGAAUGGAAAGGUUCAGCUACGCCACGGAGCACACAAUCACACACGGGGCCAGCAGCAGCAGGCCAUGGCGCGGCGUAAUUCGAAGGAUUGAGCAAGUACCAAUCUCACUCUUACCAAAUAAACAAGAAGGACAGGGACAGGUGCUGGCCGAGUAUGUUCGGUCGAGGCGCGGCACCGGCCUGGUCUACUACGAGGGCAACACCUACACGCCCAACGAGAAGCUGCGCGAGGGCCAAAAGAGCCGUGAUUGGAAAUGCUCCAUGUACCACAAGGCCAAGUGUCGGGCCCGUCUCGUCACGCGUCACACACGAAUUGGAGAUCUCAUACACGUGACCAGCAGAUUGCACACGCAUCCCAGGAUGUACGACCACCUGCACAAAUCAGAAGACAAAGACUCACGCAAGCUCUUCCCAAAGCUUAGUCCGCACAAGAAAGAGUCCAAGUAGCCGCCACAUCGUCUCGUUUAAGACACAACACAGACCUGCGCCUACAACUAAAAUAAAUCAUUAUAACAUAAUUAAUUCGUAGCCAUUGGCAAACAUUUGCCAGUGCAGUAUGUAUUGGACGAAGCCGGCAAGACAAUGAAAAUGAGUCCGGUGUCCAUCAGGUUCAUCGAAGGACAACGAAAGUCGGUGCAGCUGGUGUGU